UACGUAGGUGGCAAGCGUUGUCCGGAUUUACUGGGCGUAAAGAGCGCGCAGGCGGUCGGAUAAGUCGAAUGUGAAAGCCCCCGGCUUAACUGGGGAGGGUCAUUCGAUACUGUUCGACUGGAAGGCAGGAGAGGGAAGCGGAAUUCCCGGUGUAGUGGUGAAAUGCGUAGAUAUCGGGAGGAACACCAGUGGCGAAGGCGGCUUCCUGGCCUGUUCUUGACGCUGAGGCGCGAAAGCUAGGGGAGCAAACAGG
rnacentral:rRNA from 1 species